AUUGAACGCUGGCGGCAGGCCUAACACAUGCAAGUCGAACGAGUGGCGGACGGGUGAGUAAUUUCAGGGAAACUGCCUGCUGGAGGGGGAUAACUACUGGAAAAGGUAGAUAAUACCGCAUAACAUCGGAGGUGCCCAGAUGGGAUUAGCUAGGAGGUGGGGUAAAGGCUCACCUGGGAGACAAUCCCUAGCUGGUCUGAGAGGAUGACCAGCCACACUGGAACUGAGACACGGUCCAGACUCCUACGGGAGGCAGCAGUGGGGAAUAUUGCACAAUGGGCGCAAGCCUGAUGCAGCCAUGCCGCGUGUAUGAAGAAGGCCUUCGGGUUGUAAAGUACUUUCAGCGGGGAGGCGUUACCCGCAGAAGAAGCACCGGCUAACUCCGUGCCAGCAGCCGCGGUAAUAC
rnacentral:rRNA from 1 species